AUGCGAUCAUACCAGCACUGAAGCACCGGAUCCCAUCAGAACUCCGAAAUUAAGCGUGCUUGGGCGAGAGUAGUACUAGGAUUGAUCCCAUCAGAACUCCGAAGUUAAGCGUG
rnacentral:rRNA from 10 species